AUUGAACGCUGGCGGCAGGCCUAACACAUGCAAGUCGAACGGUAACAGGAAGAAGCUUGUUUCUUUGCUGACGAGUGGCGGACGGGUGAGUAAUGUCUGGGAAACUGCCUGAUGGAGGGGGAUAACUACUGGAAACGGUAGCUAAUACCGCAUAACGUCGCAAGACCAAAGAGGGGGACCUUCGGGCCUCUUGCCAUCGGAUGUGCCCAGGUGGGAUUAGCUAGUAGGUGGGGUAACGGCUCACCUAGGCGACGAUCCGUAGCUGGUCUGAGAGGAUGACCAGCCACACUGGAACUGAGACACGGUCCAGACUCCUACGGGAGGCAGCAGUGGGGAAUAUUGCACAAUGGGCGAAAGCCUGAUGCAGCCAUGCCGCGUGUAUGAAGAAGGCCUUCGGAUUGUAAAGUACUUUCAGCGGGGAGGAAGGGAGUAAAGUUAAUACCUUUACUCAUUGACGUUACCCGCAGAAGAAGCACCGGCUAACUCCGUG
rnacentral:rRNA from 1 species